GACGAACGCUGGCGGCGUGCUUAACACAUGCAAGUCGAACGAAGUGGCGAACGGGUGAGUAACGCGUAAUCAACCUGCCCUUCAGAGGGGGAAAACAGUUGGAAACGACUGCUAAUACCGCCGAGUGAAGGAGGGGAUUGCUUCUGGUUAGAUAGUUGGCGGGGUAACCGCCCACCAAGGCGAUGAUCAGGAGCCUGUCUGGGAGGCUGAACGGCCACAUUGUGACUGAGACACGGCCCAGACUCCUACGGGAGGCAGCAGUGGGGAAUCUUCCGCAAUGGACGAAAGUCUGACGGAGCAACGCCGCGUGAGUGAUGACGGCCUUCGGGUUGUAAAGCUCUGUUAAUCGGGACGCGGUACCGGAAUAGAAAGCCACGGCUAACUACGUGCCAGCAGCCGCGGUAAUAC
rnacentral:rRNA from 1 species